CAUCACAACGAGGAAGUAAAAACAGCAUUUCAUUGGACGUCUUAAAAGAAAACAAAAGAAAGCGUGACAGUCAGUCAGAGGACUCGGCUCGACUCGAUUGCUGGAGUCAUGACAGGAAGAGGAUGAGGAGACUCGAUUGCCCUCAACAGGAACACGAGCAACAGGAGACUCUUCCCCACCGAGGAGCAGAGUGUGGAGGUGCUCUGGCUUCUAAAUGACCAACUGAGAUCAGACUGUGGAUCGAGAAAAUCAGCCGUCUCACCCAAAAACACACCUGAGGUCAACACAAGUGAGGACACCAGUGGACCGACUCAGCCACGACCGGAAACCAGAAACCAACGGCCUCACUGAGUUUUCUGCAGUGAUGCUGCUGUCUUCCUGCCACUGACGUCCACUUUGUCAUCAACAUAAGCUGAGCUCAAGGAACGAAACAUCUGUGGGGUCUUGGACCAAGUUCAGUCCGUUCAGCUUUACCAAGAGGAUAAACAUACAUGGACAGAGAGAAAGAUGGGAGUGCUCGAUAAUGACUCAGUAGUCCGUCGUCGUGGUAACAGUCCUGAGUGGCCUUCGAGUGAGCAGUGAACUCCAUCAUAAGCCAGCCUUUAUAGACUGAACAAGCCUCAGGAACCUGCAGCUUCAUCCCAGAACCCUCUGUGUUCCUGCUGCCCUUCUCAUCUUCUCAUCUUCUCCUGCUGGCCGGCGACAA